UCGGUUUGGGAACGGCUUUGGGUUUGUGUGCACUUCUGAUUUUCUGUCUCAUUUAUUUCAUACUGAGGAGAAGAAAAUGGGAUAAAAUGAACACUUCUCGAGAAGAUUCUUCAGGAAUGAGGCAGGAAUUUGAGACUGAAACGGUGUAUUACACAGCUUUACAAUUUCCCCUGAGGAAAGCCAAAGCUGAAAAAAGGAAAAUUGUUUUAUCGGAGAAUUGUGUGUACUCUGAUGUGAAAUAAAAUUUUUCUUAUGUAACAUUAAUGAUUGGAGAUUUUACUUCUGUACACAUAUUAAUUUAUAUAUGUAAUGCCACUACCAUUGCACCUGAGUUGAACUAGUCUCUUAAAUUAUUAUUAUUAUUAUUAUUAUUAUUGUUUUUGCUGUUAUUUGUAAGUGCAAUUUAUGUAUAUUUGACUCUACUGGAUUAUUAAAAUGUUGUCCCGUGUCCAGUGGCCUGUUUUAUGACAAUAACAGAGGGUUUUACAAGAUAUUAGGGAAAUAAAACUGUUUUUGAUCAA